rnacentral:rRNA from 1 species
GACGAACGCUGGCGGCGUGCCUAACACAUGCAAGUCGAGCGGUAAGGCCCUUUCGGGGGUACACGAGCGGCGAACGGGUGAGUAACACGUGGGUGACCUGCCCUCAGCUCUGGGAUAAGCCUGGGAAACCGGGUCUAAUACCGGAUAUGACUCCAUGACGCAUGUUGGUGGGGUGGAAAGCCUUGUGCGGCUGAGGAUGGGCCCGCGGCCUAUCAGCUUGUUGGGUGGGGUGAUGGCCUACCAAGGCGACGACGGGUAGCCGGCCUGAGAGGGCGACCGGCCACACUGGGACUGAGACACGGCCCAGACUCCUACGGGAGGCAGCAGUGGGGAAUCUUGCGCAAUAGGACGAAAGCCUGACGCAGCGACGCCGCGUGAGGGAUGACGGCCU